rnacentral:rRNA from 1 species
AACGAACGCUGGCGGCAGGCUUAACACAUGCAAGUCGAGCGAGACCUUCGGGUCUAGCGGCGGACGGGUGAGUAACGCGUGGGAACGUUCCCUUCUCUACGGAAUAGCCCCGGGAAACUGGGAGUAAUACCGUAUACGCCCUUUGGGGGAAAGAUUUAUCGGAGAAGGAUCGGCCCGCGUUGGAUUAGGUAGUUGGUGGGGUAAUGGCCCACCAAGCCGACGAUCCAUAGCUGGUUUGAGAGGAUGAUCAGCCACACUGGGACUGAGACACGGCCCAGACUCCUACGGGAGGAAGCAGUGGGGAAUCUUAGACAAUGGGGGCAACCCUGAUCUAGCCAUGCCGCGUGAGUGAUGAAGGCCUUAGGGUUGUAAAGCUCUUUCAGCUGGGAAGAUAAUGACGGUACCAGCAGAAGAAGCCCCGGCUAACUCCGUG